rnacentral:rRNA from 1 species
UACGUAGGCAGCGAGCGUUGUUCGGAAUUACUGGGCGUAAAGAGUGUGUAGGCGGUGCUCUAAGUCUGUUGUGAAAUCUCCCGGCUCAACUGGGAGGGUGCGGCGGAAACUGGAGUGCUCGAGUGUGGGAGAGGUAAGCGGAAUUCCUGGUGUAGCGGUGAAAUGCGUAGAUAUCAGGAGGAACACCUGCGGUGUAGACAGCUUACUGGACCACGACUGACGCUGAGACACGAAAGCGUGGGUAGCAAACAGG